CCUACGGGAGGCAGCAGUGAGGAAUAUUGGGCAAUGGACGAGAGCCUGAACCAGCAAAGUAGCGUGAAGGAUGACUGCCCUAUGGGUUGUAAACUUCUUUUAUAUGGGAAUAAAACAGGGUAUGCAUACCCUCUUGUAUGUACCAUAUGAAUAAGGAUCGGCUAACGCCGUGCCAGCAGCCGCGGUAAUACGGAGGAUCCGAGCGUUAUCCGGAUUUAUUGGGUUUAAAGGGAGCGUAGGUGGAUUUUUAAGUCAGUUGUGAAAGUUUGCGGCUCAACCGUAAAAUUGCAGUUGAAACUGGCAGUCUUGAGUACAGUAGAGGUGGGCGGAAUUCGUGGUGUAGCGGUGAAAUGCUUAGAUAUCACGAAGAACUCCGAUUGCGAAGGCAGCUCACUGGACUGCAACUGACACUGAUGCUCGAAAGUGUGGGUAUCAAACAGGAUUAGAUACCCUUGUAGUC
rnacentral:rRNA from 1 species